CCAAUCCUGUUCGGCAAGGUUUAGUCAACCACCGGAAGCGAGUCUUGCGUAGUAGGUAGAGAUGCCUGCACGAAGCGUAGACAGCGAUUGCCGAGGGUAAACUCCGGGGCC
rfam:Niastella populi strain 208 contig4, whole genome shotgun sequence.